CGGGAGGAUCCAGUACUUUCCAGAAGCACCUCUUCUCUCAAGAUCACAAAUUGAAGCCAAGCUGAAGAGGGAGAAGAUGAAGAAGGCAAAGAUGAUGAAGUCGUACCGUUGGAGUGCACACGUUCCUCAGUGAGAAUCCCAGUGAGUGUGAAGAGGGCGAACACCAGGAGAGAGAACCCGAUCGUCAGCACCUCCAGCUCAGUGAACGGAGAGGCCAUCUACACCACCUGCAGCUGGGAACGCUC